AGAUAACUUCUUACCUCUGAAAGGAGACCAUGGCAUUUCAGUGGGAAAGUACUGUGAGAUGUGAGCAGUCCAGGAAGGACUUGGAGUUCGACUCAAUAAUCCUUAUGCGUCCCUUCCAGCUUUGGUCUUCACAAUCAAAUCAAAGAUGUUGGUAGCAUUGUUCCUGCCCACAAUAGCAGGGGUGGUUCAUCACUGUUUUUGGAAGUUUUUUAACGUUCCUGUGUCCCAGAAGACUCGAGCUUUGCUCUUUAGCCACCCAAAUGUUGAAUGUCACUCAACCUUGUCAUAUGUUUUUCAUGAUGUUCUCCAUUAGUCCCUAACACACUGUGCAGAAAUCUAACAAAUGUGGA